rnacentral:rRNA from 1 species
GACGAACGCUGGCGGCGUGCCUAAUACAUGCAAGUCGAGCGGACGAAUCGAAAGCUUGCUUUUGAUUCGUUAGCGGCGGACGGGUGAGUAACACGUGGGCAACCUGCCCUGUAGACGGGGAUAACACCGAGAAAUCGGUGCUAAUACCGGAUAACACGAAAUGUCGCAUGACGUUUCGUUGAAAGACGGCGCAAGCUGUAGCUACAGGAUGGGCCCGCGGCGCAUUAGCUAGUUGGUGAGGUAACGGCUCACCAAGGCGACGAUGCGUAGCCGACCUGAGAGGGUGAUCGGCCACACUGGGACUGAGACACGGCCCAGACUCCUACGGGAGGCAGCAGUAGGGAAUCUUCCGCAAUGGACGAAAGUCUGACGGGGCAACGCCGCGUGAGCGAAGAAGGCCUUCGGGUCGUAAAGCUCUGUUGUUAGGGAAGAACAAGUAACGCAGUAACUGGCGUUACCGUGACGGUACCUAACGAGAAAGCCACGGCUAACUACGUGCCAGCCGCCGCAGUAA